CUACGGGUUGCACCAGUGGGGAAUUUUGCGCAAUGGGGGCAACCCUGACGCAGCAAUACCGCGUGAGUGAAGAAGGCCUUUGGGUCGUAAAGCUCUUUUCUAAGGGAAGAUAGUGACGGUACCUUAGGAAUAAGCACCGGCUAACUCCGUGCCAGCAGCCGCGGUAAUACGGAGGGUGCGAGCGUUGUUCGGAUUUACUGGGCGUAAAGGGCACGUAGGCGGCCUAGCAAGUUAAGGGUGAAAUCCCGGGGCUCAACUCCGGAACUGCUCUUAAAACUGCUAAGCUAGAGAUAGUCAGAGGCGGGUGGAAUUCCAGGUGUAGAGGUGAAAUUCGUAGAUAUCUGGAGGAACACCGGUGGCGAAGGCGGCCCGCUGGGGCUAUUCUGACGCUGAGGUGCGAAAGCGUGGGGAGCGAACGGGAUUAGAUACCCUUGUAGUC
rnacentral:rRNA from 1 species